GCUGGGACCGGUGCCUCCUUUUUGAGUCUGCUACCUUGCCGUCGCAAACGAGCGACACCUCCUUCCACCCAGUAAAGACUUCCCUGCCGCCCGCCUGCAUCCCCUGAGGCUACUUUUUUUUUGUUGUUUGCUUUGUUUUUUUAAUCACUUUGGAUGUUUGGAGAGAUGAGAGCGAGCUGGGACCAGGUACAAGCAAUCAUCAUCUGUGGCAGACUCAAGCCAUUUCUGAACUCAUCUCGUGGCCUCACUCUGUCGCCCAAGCCUGCAGCUGUACACCUGCUUGGGGCUGACCUUGUUUUCUUGCCUAUCCAAAUCCUGUAUCCUUGCACCUCUCAUCAUUCUGCUCAGGUUCGCUAUGCUUUUUUUUACCCUUAAAACAACAAUAAAAAUUGUGUCUACUCUGGGGUCAUCUUCCCGCACCACAGACAAAAGUAUAAUUAGAGUCCAAUUAUGCCACAGCAGCAGCCAUAUAACUAGUACAAAGGGAAAAGGGGACUGUGAUGUACAGCAUAAUGACAUGUUUAUCAUGGGCCCUUUCUUUGACCACCAAGUCCAGAAAGUUGUCUUUUUUUGUCUCAAAGACAUCUGAAGAUUUCCAGCAUUAUAUUGUGUAGCAUCCAAAAAAAUUAAACUCCGCUGAAACAUGGAAACAAAAUGGAGUCAACCAAAACAGGCCGUGGCAAACCUGGCUUCAGAAUUACGGUCGCCCUCGUCAACAUGUUUGCUGACAUUUUUUGGUUGUUAUUGUCCACAUUCUUCUGCCGGUCAGUGACUACAAAAGAGGCAGGAGAUGAGAGUAAGAUUUUCCACCAACUGAGAGUCCAUUUAAUCUGUCUAAAAAAAUAUAUCUCAAAGCAACAGAAGAACUUGUACUCAGAACCAGAUGGGCAAGUCAGGUGUUCUGCUACUCAUUACCAUUAAAUGUCAAAGGGGUGAUUCUUUUAAUCCACACAUCUAUAC